rnacentral:rRNA from 1 species
CUACGGGAGGCAGCAGUGGGGAAUUUUGGACAAUGGGGGCAACCCUGAUCCAGCCAUUCCGCGUGAGUGAAGAAGGCCUUCGGGUUGUAAAGCUCUUUCGGCAGGAACGAAACGGUGAGCUCUAACAUAGCUCGCUAAUGACGGUACCUGAAGAAGAAGCACCGGCUAACUACGUGCCAGCAGCCGCGGUAAUACGUAGGGUGCGAGCGUUAAUCGGAAUUACUGGGCGUAAAGCGUGCGCAGGCGGUUGUGUAAGACAGGUGUGAAAUCCCCGGGCUUAACCUGGGAACUGCGCUUGUGACUGCACGGCUAGAGUAUGGCAGAGGGGGGUGGAAUUCCACGUGUAGCAGUGAAAUGCGUAGAGAUGUGGAGGGACACCGAUGGCGAAGGCAGCCCCCUGGGCCAAUACUGACGCUCAUGCACGAAAGCGUGGGGAGCAAACAGGAUUAGAUACCCUGGUAGUCC